GGUGCUAUAGUGUAGUGGUCAUCACUCGGGAUUUUGACUUUACCUAUAUAGUCAACUUCCCGAAACCCAGGUUCGAACCCUGGUAGCACCU
rnacentral:tRNA from 1 species